rnacentral:rRNA from 1 species
CAAUAGCGUAUAUUAAAGUUGUUGCGGUUAAAAAGCUCGUAGUUGGAUUUCUGCCGAGGACGACCGGUCCGCCCUCUGGGUGAGUAUCUGGUUCGGCCUGGGCAUCUUCUUGGAGAACGUAUCUGCACUUGACUGUGUGGUGCGGUAUCCAGGACUUUUACUUUGAGGAAAUGAGAGUGUUCCAAGCAGGCAAUUGCCGUGAAUAUGAUAGCAUGGAAUAAUAGCACAGGACUUUGGUUCAAUGCUGUUGGUUGUUGAACUAGAGUAAUCACAAUAAGGAUAGUUGGGGGUAUUCGUAUUUAACUGUCAGAGGUGAAAUUCUUGGAUUUUUUAAAGACGAACUAUUGCGAAGGCAUCUACCCAGGAUGUUUUUGUUGAUCAAGAACGAAAGUUAGGGGAUCGAAGACGAUCAGAUACCAU